AUUGAACGCUGGCGGCAGGCCUAACACAUGCAAGUCGAACGGUAACAGGGAUCAUCUUGCUGAUUCGCUGACGAGUGGCGGACGUGUGAGUAAUGUCUGGGAAACUUCCUGAUGUAGGGUGAUUACUACUGGAAACGGUUGCUAAUACCGCAUAACUUCUCCAGACCAAAGAGGGGUACCUUCUUGCCUCUUUCCAUCGGAUUUGCCCAGAUGGGAUUAGCUAGUAGGUGGGGUAACGGCUCACCUAGGCGACGAUCCCUAGCUGGUCUGAGAGGAUGACCAGCCACACUGGAACUGAGACACGGUCCAGACUCCUACGGGAGGCAGCAGUGGGGAAUAUUGCACAAAGGGCGCAAGCAUGAUGCAGCAAUGCCGCGUGUAUGAAGAAGGCCUUCGGGUUGUAAAGUACUUUCAGCGGGGAGGAAGGGAGUAAAGUUAAUACCUUGGCUCAUUGACGUUAACGGCAGAAGAAGCACCGGCUAACUACGUG
rnacentral:rRNA from 1 species